rnacentral:rRNA from 1 species
CCAUGAGGGUAUUGCCUUAGUACGGCGAGUGAAGCGGCAAAAGCUCAAAUUUGAAAUCUGGCACCUUCGGUGUCCGAGUUGUAAUUUGAAGAAGGUAACUUUGGAGUUGGCUCUUGUCUAUGUUCCUUGGAACAGGACGUCACAGAGGGUGAGAAUCCCGUGCGAUGAGAUGCCCAAUUCUAUGUAAAGUGCUUUCGAAGAGUCGAGUUGUUUGGGAAUGCAGCUCUAAGUGGGUGGUAAAUUCCAUCUAAAGCUAAAUAUUGGCGAGAGACCGAUAGCGAACAAGUACAGUGAUGGAAAGAUGAAAAGAACUUUGAAAAGAGAGUGAAAAAGUACGUGAAAUUGUUGAAAGGGAAGGGCUUGAGAUCAGACUUGGUAUUUUGCGAUCCUUUCCUUCUUGGUUGGGUUCCUCGCAGCUUACUGGGCCAGCAUCGGUUUGGAUGGUAGGAUAAUGACUAAGGAAUGUGGCUCUACUUCGGUGGAGUGUUAUAGCCUUGGUUGAUACUGCCUGUCUAGACCGAGGACUGCGUCUUUUGACUAGGAUGUUGGCAUAAUGAUCUUAAGCCACCCCUCUUUAAGGGAGGGGCCAAACAAAACAAUAAAAAAUUUAUUAUACAUUUGGGGGAGGGUAAGGUUCGGGCCAAUGCCGUUGUGGGGGGGGUUGGUGG